rnacentral:rRNA from 1 species
UUCGCAAUGCCCGAAAGGGUGACGAAGCGACGCCGCGUGUGGGAAGAAGGCCUUCGGGUUGUAAACCACUGUCGGGAGUUAAGAAAUGUAAGGAUAUGAAUAGUGUCCUUGCUUGACUAAGGCUCCGGAGGAAGCCACGGCUAACUCUGUGCCAGCAGCCGCGGUAAUACAGAGGCGGCAAGCGUUGUUCGGAAUUAUUGGGCGUAAAGAGCACGUAGGCGGCUGUGUAAGUCGGUUGUGAAAGCCUUCCGCUCAACGGAAGAACAGCAGCCGAUACUGCAUGGCUUGAGUGCGGGAGGGGAGAGUGGAACUUCUGGUGGAGCGGUGAAAUGCGUAGAUAUCAGAAGGAACGCCGGCGGCGAAAGCGACUCUCUGGACCGCAACUGACGCUGAGUGUGCGAAAGCUAGGGGAGCAAACGGGAUUAGAUACCCCGGUAGUCCUAGCCGUAAACGAUGGGCACUAAGUAGAGGGGUUUU